UGGCGACCGGCGCACGGGUGAGUAACACGUAUCCAACCUGCCGAUAACUCGGGGAUAGCCUUUCGAAAGAAAGAUUAAUAUCCGAUAGGAUAUCAAGGUCGCAUGAUCUUGAUAUUAAAGAAUUUCGGUUAUCGAUGGGGAUGCGUUCCAUUAGUUAGUUGGCGGGGUAACGGCCCACCAAGACGACGAUGGAUAGGGGUUCUGAGAGGAAGGUCCCCCACACUGGUACUGAGACACGGACCAGACUCCUACGGGAGGCAGCAG
rnacentral:rRNA from 1 species